UUUCAUCAAUGCCAAGCUGAAGCAGAUAUCAAAUUUCUGCUCUUCCACCCUAAGAGCAUUGCCCCAUCUUUCUCAACUAGUGUAUAGUGCUCUGAAUAGCAUCUCAGAAGGCUUCUUAUAACAGAAUUCACAUAAGAACUCAAAGGACAUUGACGAAAUCCGGCCAUUGUCAACCUAGACUUCCACUUACCAAACAGUUCGUGUCGCUCGACCCUUUCUUUUCCUUCACACGCAAUGACAUUGACGAUAUCCCGAGCCAAACAAUGUUGCUCCACAUUAAUCCUCUCCUUGCUAUUUCUUGAGAGGGUGACAUCGAUGGACUCGAAGAUUGCCAAGUAGUAGUCUAGAGUUUCUAUGAACCUGUUGAAGAAAGGUGUUGUGUUUGUGUUUGAUUCUUGCUCCACAAGGGUGACCACUUUAGGAGAGAGAGACUUCACCAAUCUCAAAAGUCCAUCCCUUGGAUUAUUCACAUCAACACUCUCAUCAGCUGUGUGAUGGAGCUGCAGUGGAAAAUUCACCGCCAAAGCUUCUCCGUGUCUGAUAUCAAGCAUGUCCCUUGUCACAUCUGGACCGAAAACAGGAAUCCCAUGAAACUCAACCGGUAUGCCGAAUUUCUUAGACAUCAAGGACAAUCUCUCUCCAACUACUUCGAGUCCCUUGCCACGGGCAUAUUUAGAGACUGGAUCGUCGAUUCCUGUGAUCCGCACGUGGGGUGCCCCACCAGGUCUCGCGGCAAGAGCUUGAAGAAGUGUCAUCCAUUGAGUUCCUUGAGCAAUUUGGAAGUCUAUGAUGUGUAUGUGAUCCUCAUUCCUGCAAGCUUCGGCAAUGGCUCCAUUGGCAGCCAUGUAACCAAAUUUUAAGUAGGGACAGAUUUCGAAAAGCAGUUGCAUGUAAGUGAGUAAUUCUUCACCUUCAGGCUCUCUGCACUUAAGGGCAUGAUAGAUACUAUUCCCUGACGCUUCUGUCCUUGCAACAAGACCUUCUACCAUAUAAGCACCGAGCCUCUGGAUUGGCUCCCC
rnacentral:lncRNA from 1 species